UUGAGCCGUAUGAGCAGAAACCAUCAUGUACGGUUCUGAGGGCUAUCUAUUACCCACAAACAUACGGUCAUUUCACCGGCUGAGUCCAUUUCUCGAUAGCUUUUGAUGAUUCACGUUUCCAUUUUUCUAUCUUGGU
rnacentral:ncRNA from 1 species